rnacentral:rRNA from 1 species
GACGAACGCUGGCGGCGUGCUUAACACAUGCAAGUCGAACGGAAAGGCCCUGCUUUUGUGGGGUGCUCGAGUGGCGAACGGGUGAGUAACACGUGAGUAACCUGCCCUUGACUUUGGGAUAACUUCAGGAAACUGGGGCUAAUACCGGAUAGGAGCUCCUGCUGCAUGGUGGGGGUUGGAAAGUUUCGGCGGUUGGGGAUGGACUCGCGGCUUAUCAGCUUGUUGGUGGGGUAGUGGCUUACCAAGGCUUUGACGGGUAGCCGGCCUGAGAGGGUGACCGGCCACAUUGGGACUGAGAUACGGCCCAGACUCCUACGGGAGGCAGCAGUGGGGAAUAUUGCACAAUGGGCGGAAGCCUGAUGCAGCAACGCCGCGUGCGGGAUGACGGCCUUCGGGUUGUAAACCGCUUUCGCCCGUGACGAAGCGUGAGUGACGGUAAUGGGUAAAGAAGCACCGGCUAACUACGUGCCAGCAGCCGCGGUGAUACGUAGGGUGCGAGCGUUGUCCGGAUUUAUUGGGCGUAAAGGGCUCGUAGGUGGUUGAUCGCGUCGGAAGUGUAAUCUUGGGGCUUAACCCUGAGCGUGCUUUCGAUACGGGUUGACUUGAGGAAGGUGGGGGAGAAUGGAAUUCCUGGUGGAGCGGUGGAAUGCGCAGAUAUCAGGAGGAACACCAGUGGCGAAGGCGGUUCUCUGGGCCUUUCCUGACGCUGAGGAGCGAAAGCGUGGGGAGCGAACAGGCUUAGAUACCCUGGUAGUCCACGCUGUAAACGGUGGGUACUAGGUGUGGGGUCCAUUCCACGGGUUCCGUGCCGUAGCUAACGCUUUAAGUACCCCGCCUGGGGAGUACGGCCGCAAGGCUAAAACUCAAAGGAAUUGACGGGGCCCCGCACAAGCGGCGGAGCAUGCGGAUUAAUUCGAUGCAACGCGUAGAACCUUACCUGGGUUUGACAUGGAUCGGGAGUGCUCAGAGAUGGGUGUGCCUCUUUUGGGGUCGGUUCACAGGUGGUGCAUGCCUGUCGUCAGCUCGUGUCGUGAGAUGUUGGGUUAAGUCCCGCAACGAGCGCAACCCUUGUUCACUGUUGCCAGCACGUUAUGGUGGGGACUCAGUGGAGACCGCCGGGGUCAACUCGGAGGAAGGUGGGGAUGACGUCAAGUCAUCAUGCCCCUUAUGUCCAGGGCUUCACGCAUGCUACAAUGGCUGGUACAGAGAGUGGCGAGCCUGUGAGGGUGAGCGAAUCUCGGAAAGCCGGUCUCAGUUCGGAUUGGGGUCUGCAACUCGACCUCAUGAAGUCGGAGUCGCUAGUAAUCGCAGAUCAGCAACGCUGCGGUGAAUACGUUCCCGGGGCU